AGAUGUGCUCGUAGAGUAACGAGCAGGGUAAACAAAAGAAAAUAGCUCAUUAAGA
rnacentral:ncRNA from 1 species